ensembl:snRNA U6 U6 spliceosomal RNA
AUGUUCACUUUGGCAGCACAUAUACUAAAAUUGGAACAAUACAGAGAAGAUUAGCAUGGCCUCUGCACAAGGAUGACACACUAUUAAGUAAAGUGCAUAAUUUCUAG